rnacentral:tRNA from 1 species
CGGGAAGUAGCUCAGCUUGGUAGAGCACUUGGUUUGGGACCAAGGGGUCGCAGGUUCGAAUCCUGUCUUCCCGAUAA